CAAUACAAUGCUUUCCCAAAGUCCUCUUUUUGAAUCAUGUUGUUGGAGAGAUGUAAGUUGAAUUAUCAGUAAAGGCUACACAAAAUGUAUUGUUAGUAAGGAUCUAUACUCUCAUUUCUGCUAAGGGAGAGAUAAAAUCCGUACAAAUCAAUAGAACCGUGGUGUAUACUUUAUUACCGUAUUAAAUAGUAAGCGGCAUCUACCAUGGCGCAUUAUUUCCAUAUUUAGAGAUGUCAUGUUACUACUCAGCUGUGUCUGUGUGUUCCCCCUGUUCACUGUCUAUAUGAGUUGCCAUAUCUAAUACAGUUUCAUUCAGAUACAUGGUCUGACUCGUUCCUGUGUAUUUUCUUGCGUGCGAUUCGAGGUUUCUUUUCAUGGCAGCCACUUAUGUAAGCACUCUCUGUCUGAGCAAUUACCUGAAACUAAGUAAGAACAGAUUACAGAAAGAUCCGACAUUCUCCCAGCCUGCAGUACAUUAUACGGAGCUGCCCCUCUUUACCAGGUAUCAAUAAAGACUAGGCAGGGGAAGAUAUUUGGGGACAGACUUCCUGUGUAUGAAGACAGGCGCUUACCUCCCCUUCGACCGCCGGGUCAUUUUUCCUAGACCUGUUUUAUCCAUAUCUGUCUACAUCCUGCUACUAGAAUUGAACAUUGUUAGUUUUUGUAUGUUUGACUAUGGGUUGCUAAAGUAUGGUGGUUGAGAGUGUUUGUUUAUUUAUUUUUUUCUUUAUUCCAGGAGUCCAGUUCUAAUGCCCAAACUGUAUUCCCAGUGCUAUUGGCUAAAGCUACUGUCCCAGACAAAGGAACCUAUACAGUUUAUUCUGAUAAUACCGUGCUUGCACAUUUUUUGGAUGGAGUAUAUCUUCACAUGACCUGGAAUUUUAAUCACUU